GCUCGGGAACGCGGAAGUAGGCAAACUUUUUAAGUAAACAAUUUAGGUUUUGUCAAAGCUCUACUGUAUUUUACUUGGCGUAGAUACUUCGUGUACGUACGAGCUGUAUUGCAAAGUGCGCUGUUGAAAUGGACGUCAUUUGCAAGGUCCGUCAUAGCUGGACAUCGGGGAAGAAAGGAAUACUAGUAAUUUUGACAAUCGUUGGGACAGCAAAUGCUUUAGGUGCAUCGUGCAGAUGGUCAGUGUCUGCGCCUUCGAC